UUUAAGAGGGAAAGGACUGACGGGUGGACGAUGAAUAACUAAUCUUGUAAUUCCGAGAAUGUAAUGAUUUGAUUCGAACGGAAAACAGGAUUAGUCUGUCCAUUUUUAAAGAGUCCAUUCCCUUAUGAACGGUUUAUAGGCCUCCACAGGUCUUUUUCAGAUGUGCCUACUUCACUCAAAGUCAGUGAAGCGCAUUUAUUUCAAGGGAUAAUUGGAUAGCGAUGGAUUGGUCCUUCCGUUACGACGGGGGGAUUUUUUU
rnacentral:sRNA from 1 species